UGAGGAAUAUUGGUCAAUGGGCGCAAGCCUGAACCAGCCAUGCCGCGUGCAGGAUGAAGCAUCUAUGGUGUGUAAACUGCUUUUAUACGGGAAGAAACAGCAGAACGUGUUCUGCCUUGACGGUACCGUAAGAAUAAGGACCGGCUAACUCCGUGCCAGCAGCCGCGGUAAUACGGAGGGUCCAAGCGUUAUCCGGAAUCAUUGGGUUUAAAGGGUCCGUAGGCGGCCCGGUAAGUCAGUGGUGAAAUCUCCCCGCUCAACGGGGAAACUGCCAUUGAUACUGCCGGGCUUGAAUUACUGGGAAGUAACUAGAAUAUGUAGUGUAGCGGUGAAAUGCUUAGAGAUUACAUGGAAUACCGAUUGCGAAGGCAGGUUACUACCAUUAUAUUGACGCUGAUGGACGAAAGCGUGGGGAGCGAACAG
rnacentral:rRNA from 1 species